GACAGAGGUGCCGAGCGUUAGGCGGAAUCACUGGGCUUAAAGCGUGUGUAGGCGGGCGGGCAAGUACCUUGUGAAAUCCCCCGGCUCAACCGGGGAACCGCUGGGCAUACUGCGGGUCUUGAGACACCUAGGGGGCGAGCGGAACAGGCGGUGGAGCGGUGAAAUGCGUAGAUAUCGCCUGGAACGCCGACGGUGAAAACAGCUCGCUGGGGGUGUUCUGACGCUGAGACACGAAAGCCAGGGGAGCGAACGGG
rnacentral:rRNA from 1 species